rnacentral:rRNA from 1 species
CUUCACAAUGUGCGAAAGCACGAUGAGGGGAUCCCAAGUGCUGGCACGUAAGUGUCAGCUGUUUCUUUGUCUAAAAAACAAAGAGAGUAAGAGCUGGGUAAGACGGGUGCCAGCCGCCGCGGUAAUACCUGCAGCUCAAGUGGUGGUCGCUAUUAUUGGGCCUAAAACGUCCGUAGCCGGUUUAGUAAAUGCUUGGGUAAAUUGUGUAGCUUAACUAUACGAAUACCGGGUAGACUGCUAAACUUGGGACCGGGAGAGGCUAGAGGUACUCCUAGGGUAGAGGUGAAAUUCUGUAAUCCUAGGGGGACCACCAGUGGCGAAGGCGUCUAGCUAGAACGGGUCUGACGGUGAGGGACGAAGCCCUGGGGCGCGAACCGGAUUAGAUACCCGGGUAGUCCAGGGUGUAAACGCUGCUUGCUUGAUGUUAGUUGGGCUCCGAGCCCAACUAGUGUCGGAGAGAAGUUGUUAAGCAAGCUGCCUGGGAAGUACCGGUCGCAAGACUGAAACUUAA